rnacentral:rRNA from 1 species
CUACGGGGUGCAGCAGGCGCGAAAACUUUACAAUGCCGGCAACGGCGAUAAGGGGACCUCGAGUGCCAGGUUACAAAUCUGGCUGUCGUGAUGCCUAAAAAGCAUUGCAUAGCAAGGGCCGGGCAAGACCGGUGCCAGCCGCCGCGGUAACACCGGCGGCUCGAGUGGUGACCGUUAUUAUUGGGUCUAAAGGGUCUGUAGCCGGCCGGAUAAGUCUCUUGAGAAAUCCAGCAGCUCAACUGUUGGGCUUUCAGGAGAUACUGUUCGGCUCGAGGCCGGGAGAGGUGAGAGGUACUUCAGGGGUAGGGGUGAAAUCUUGUAAUCCUUGAAGGACCACCAGUGGCGAAGGCGUCUCACCAGAACGGACCUGACGGCAAGGGACGAAAGCUAGGGGCACGAACCGGAUUAGAUACCCGGGUAGUCCUAGCCGUAAACGAUACUCGCUAGGUGUCGGCCACGGUGCGACCGUUGUCGGUGCCGUAGGGAAGCCGUGAAGCGAGC